rnacentral:tRNA from 1 species
UGUAAAGGUUAGUUUAAUAUAAAACCUUGGUCUGUGGUCCCAAAGAUAAUUUUUAAUUACCUUUAUAC